GGACGAACGCUGGCGGCGUGCUUAACACAUGCAAGUCGAACGGCCGUAGCAAUACGGCAGUGGCGGACGGGUGAGUAACACGUGAGCAAUCUGCCUCAUACAGGGGGAUAACACUGAGAAAUCAGUGCUGAUACCGCAUAAGACCACAAGGCCGCAUGGCUUAGGGGUAAAAGGUUAAUUCCGGUAUGAGAUGAGCUCGCGUCCCAUUAGGUAGUUGGUGAGGUAACGGCCCACCAAGCCCGCGAUGGGUAGCCGACCUGAGAGGGUGAACGGCCACACUGGAACUGAGAUACGGUCCAGACUCCUACGGGAGGCAGCAGUGGGGAAUAUUGGGCAAUGGAGGAAACUCUGACCCAGCAACGCCGCGUGAGUGAAGAAGGUCUUCGGAUUGUAAAGCUCUGUGGAUAGGGAUGAAAAAAAUGACAGUACCUAUAAAGCAAGCCACGGCAAACUACGUGCCAGCAGCCGCGGUAAUACGUAGGUGGCAAGCGUUGUCCGGAAUGACUGGGUGUAAAGGGUGCGUAGGCGGCUUAUUAAGUUAGAAGUGUAAUACCUGGGCUCAACUUAGGUGCUACUUCUAAGACUGAUGAGCUUGAGUGUGGGAGAGGUAAGUGGAAUUCCUAGUGUAGCGGUGGAAUGCGUAGAUAUUAGGAGGAACACCAGUGGCGAAAGGCGACUUACUGGACCAUAACUGACGCUGAGGCACGAAAGCGUGGGUAGCAAACAGGAUUAGAUACCCUGGUAGUCCACGCCCUAAACGAUGGAUACUAGGUAUAGGGGGUAUCGACUCCCCCUGUGCCGUCGCAAACGCAGUAAGUAUCCCACCUGGGGAGUACGGCCGCAAGGUUGAAACUCAAAGGAAUUGACGGGGACCCGCACAAGCAGCGGAGCAUGUGGUUUAAUUCGAAGCAACGCGAAGAACCUUACCAAGGCUUGACAUCGCCUGAAUAGUAUAGAGAUAUAUGAAGCCGUAGCAAUACGGCAGGCAGACAGGUGGUGCAUGGUUGUCGUCAGCUCGUGUCGUGAGAUGUUGGGUUAAGUCCCGCAACGAGCGCAACCCCUAUGAACAGUUGCCAAUAUUAAGUUAGGAACUCUGUUCAGACUGCCGUGGAUAACACGGAGGAAGGUGGGGAUGACGUCAAAUCAUCACGCCCCUUACGUCUUGGGCUACACACGUGCUACAAUGGCUGUUACAAAGAGCAGCAAGAUAGUAAUAUUAAGCGAAUCUCAAAAAAACAGUCUCAGUUCAGAUUGUGGGCUGCAACCCGCCCACAUGAAGUCGGAGUUGCUAGUAAUCGCGAAUCAGCACGUCGCGGUGAAUGCGUUCCCGGGUCUUGUACUCACCGC
rnacentral:rRNA from 1 species